rnacentral:rRNA from 1 species
AGAGUUUGAUCCUGGCUCAGGACGAACGCUGGCGGUGUGCCUAAUACAUGCAAGUCGUACGAAUUGAUUAAGGAGCUUGCUCCUUAUGACGUUAGUGGCGAACGGGUGAGUAACACGUGGGUAACCUACCUUCAAGAGGGGGAUAACAUCCGGAAACGGGUGCUAAUACCGCAUAGUUUCAGCUUCCGCAUGGAAGUUGAAGGAAAGACGGCCUUUGUGCUGUCACUUGGAGAUGGACCCGCGGCGCAUUAGUUAGUUGGUAGGGUAACGGCCUACCAAGACGAUGAUGCGUAGCCGACCUGAGAGGGUGAUCGGCCACAUUGGGACUGAGACACGGCCCAAACUCCUACGGGAGGCAGCAGUAGGGAAUCUUCCGCAAUGGACGAAAGUCUGACGGAGCAACGCCGCGUGAGUGAAGAAGGUUUUCGGAUCGUAAAACUCUGUUGUUGGAGAAGGACAAGUAGGAGAGUAACUGCUCUUACCUUGACGGUACCCAACCAGAAAGCCACGGCUAACUACGUGCCAGCAGCCGCGGUAAUACGUAGGUGGCAAGCGUUGUCCGGAUUUAUUGGGCGUAAAGCGAGCGCAGGCGGUUCCUUAAGUCUGAUGUGAAAGCCCACGGCUCAACCGUGGAAGGUCAUUGGAAACUGGGGAACUUGAAUGCAGAAGAGGAGAGUGGAAUUCCAUGUGUAGCGGUGAAAUGCGUAGAUAUAUGGAGGAACACCAGUGGCGAAGGCGACUCUCUAGUCUGUAAUUGACGCUGAGGCUCGAAAGCGUGGGGAGCAAACAGGAUUAGAUACCCUGGUAGUCC